AAGGGCGAAAGUGUUUUUUGUAAACAAACUUGUUUCGCUCAUUAGUCUGCUGCAGUGUGGAAUUUCAUGAAAAAUAUGCGUUAAUGUAAAUUUUUACCCUUCGUAGAAGUAAUUUCAAUUGUUUUCUGCUUUGAAAUUAUAGUAAAUUAAGAGAAACCAUCAAAAUAAAAGUUUGUUUACAAAUCUUAUUCGCCCUUUUGUAAAUUUAAUAUGGAGUUGACUAUAAAUAUUGCAUUAUUCAACAAUCUGUUUUCAACUAUAGUAUACCAAGAAGCGCAGUGCUAGUUCAGCAACACAGAAAUAUACCUCAGAAGAAUCAACUUUCACCGCUGACCAGUGCGGUCGAGAAAAUUUCCGGCGAAUCCAAUGCAGCAACAACGUCCACUUUCAGUACCGCAAUACAAAGCGAUCCAACAGCGUGGGAAAUUUUAUCGCAAAAUUUUAUAUCAGCGCAACAGCUAUGUAUACCAAAAGCGAUACCACGUCGAUGGCCGAAAUGAUUUUUGGUUCUGCACCUAUAGUCUUCCAGGACAGCAGUUUGAAGCCAACAGUAGCAGCAACAGCAGUAAAAAAGUAUCCACUUCCACCUACUUGGGCUAUGAACUGCCAAGUAUCGGUCAGAAUGCACUAUACAACGGCCGACAUACGUCGGAAAGUGAUCGUAGCUCCAUAGGUACAACGUCACUACGGUCGUUUACUGUUACUUCGUCCACUUUGAUGUAAUAUGAUACUUCGUACAACCACAGACAAAGGCCACCACUGCCAAUCGAGUUUGCGCAUUUGGAGCAUCUGGCAGAUCCGAGACUUUCAACCAAAAGUGGCCUUGACUCAGGGUAUGGUGGAACGGAACCUUGGGCGUUUUCAUCAAGUCAACCACGCCAUCGCACCGAAACAGUCUAGCAUCAAUUUCUAGUGAUUUCGAGUGUUUUCGAAGACUUAGUUUAGAUACCAGUAUUGAUAUUUCACAGUCUCUGAAUUGCACAAGUUUAGACGACUAUAGUCAGUAUGGCAGCUUUCAUCGAGGUCAAUACGACCGGUUCGGUGAACAUUAGCAGUCAAGUGACAGCGAGCGAUGGUUGCGCCGGUGGUAAAAAUCGACGGAAUAGUGAAACCAUAGUACUGACUAGACAAAAAGCGUUUAGCGGGGAAGUUCUUUCCACUGCAACCAAUUAUCACGGGAGACCUUUGCACAAAAAGGCACGUCUA